UCAUGGCUGGCACAUAACAUGUUCUCAGUAAAAUAUUAACUAUCACUAUUGACUUCAAGCUCUUCAUCUUCCAGAUGGGAAGCUGAUCCAGAGGAGGAACCAAGUUGGCAGAGCAAGGACGACAGUUCUCAUUUUCUGAUUCUCAGCCACCCAAGAUGGCCCCCGAAGGAUCUCAGAGCUAAUCCUUCCCGAGGAAAAUGAAUUCUGCUGUUACUAAGAGGGAAGAAUUAUCUGAUCUAUAAAUUAACACGAACGUGAAGCAUGUCUGAUUUUUGAGGCAUCUAGAAAUCUAGAAUAGACAAAUCCUUGAAAAAGAGGGAUUUUCUUUUUUCGCAUGUCCAUCUUUUCUGCUUGAUACUUAAGAAAAUUAAAGUGAAAACUGAACUUAUGUUGAUCAUACAGAAUACACACAAGAGCCUAAAGUAUGCAUUUCAAAAAGAAGAGACUUUCAUGCCUCCUGCAAAUACUCAAUAUUCUCUGCUCUUUCUGUCAACAGUAUAUCAGGUUCUAGAUAAACAAUUCCACCCAGAUUUGGGGGCAGGGAAAAAUACUACUUAAUUUAAUUUUAAUCUUUUUACCAAAAGCAGUAUAUUAUUAAAUAUGGUUUAGAGUUUAAACUGAGAUAAACCUUGUUAAUGAUCAGGAGGCAAACAUAAUAAUAAUAAUUUAAAAAAACACCCAAACUAUGUUAGUAUAUUCUGUAGUUGGUUUUUUUCAUUUGGAAAAUAAAGACAGAGCUAGUUCUUCAUGUUCAGCAAGCAUACGUAGACCAUUCUUUCUAUCUACGCCAUCAUUUCUUUAAGAAAACAGAACAUGCUACAUGAACAGACCUUUCCAUAGGGCCUCAAUUUUAAUUUUCCAGAGUUUGGAGAAGCAACAUCCAUCAGUUUCCCUCAACAGUUGAGAAUAAUGCUGUUUUUGUCAUACACAGUGUCUAUUUUGAGCUCAAAUGUGCACACUGACUGUAGACUAUAGGCUUGCAGACCUGUCAGCACAGUGCCCCAUUACAAAUUGUCCCUUUAGCAAGAUGACAUCAUCUUAGCAGCCUGCUCUGGUUACUACAUUCUCCCAGGUUUCACCAAGUCAAACAAGGUGAUGGCAUUUUUAAGGCUCUAGAUUUUAGUGGUCUUCAAAUUAAGGUAGGUGGCCAGGUGCUAUUUCAGGGUUUCAUCAGGCAACCUCGUGCUAAAUUUGAAACUAAAAGGGGGUGCUUUUUUAUACUGGAAACAUAAAUAUUGGCAUUUAUGCAAAUGGCUGCUGUAACAGGAAGUGACUUCAUAUAUCAUUACCUGAAAUAAGAUUAUAGGAGGGUCUAACUUUAAUCUGAAUGACUGUUAAAACCUGGGACAUGUUAUCUCUCAAGACGACUGUGUUAGAAUCUAAGCAACCUCUAUUUGCAUUUUGAGCCUUCUACUUAUUGGAUGCUAAUAAAAACCCUGUACUUUAAUUAUUUCACACAUUACCGGUACAUUUUCUAAUUUUCUGUGAAGACGUAAUCAUGUCUGAAACAGAUACAUACCGUGAUCCAUAAACAACCAUGUCUGCUCUUUAAAUUGUAUCCUUUGCCCAGGAAUCAAUUUUGCUGAAAAAUGGACCAUGUCCGUACAUGGGCAAAGAGAGUCACAUGAAAAUUAUGAUAGGUAGAGAUAAGUUAAAGAAGAAACACUUGGAGUCACAAGACUUGAAAGGAAUUCCCAGCACUAGAAGAAGUGUAUGGGUAAAGAAAACAUUGCUUAGCUUUUUUUAUUGUUCAUUUCCUUCCUCUAAAAUAGUAGCAGUAAUAGCAUCUGCUCAUAGGCUGGUGAGUGUUUAAAUGAGACAAUGCAAGCAAAGAGCUUCACAAACAACAACAAAGAAUAUUAUCUGUCCUUCCUCUAUGACAAAUACUCUGCCAAGUCCUUUUUGAACCAGGUUUGUGUUUUGCAAAACAGUACCUAAGUAAAAGAUAGCAUUAAAUGUGCAAUGUGUACAUACAUUUAUGUACAUAAUUUGAAAUGUUCGUGACUAACUGUAACUAAAAACUAAAUGAUUGAAUGCAUAAAACUUGCUAUUCUGCUUAUCGUUUUCUUCUUCAGCUCAGUGAUUUUAGAAUUUUCAAGUUUACUUUGGUAAGUAACUCUCCUGUCUACUACUUUGUAUAAUUCUCUACUUUGUUCAUUGAAUUCAGUGAAACACAUUCUGUAUGGGAAUUCAUUCUCAGAAGCAGAACUGGCCUUAGGAAGGUCAUUCAUUCUUAUAUCCAACGCUGUCCCAGAGAAUCAGUGUGAGGACUCUGAAGCCCCAGGAGAGUACAGAGCCCGAGAAAAUGCCUGGUUCCUUAAACGUCUGAGCAGUGUAGAGUUUCCUGGUUGAUCUAUAUUGGACUGUGAGGAGUAAAAACUACAUUUUAAGGAUUACCAAGUGAUAUUGAAAUGCUCCUGGCAACAGGGAGAAAGUAAGUG